rnacentral:rRNA from 1 species
UACGGAGGGGACUAGCGUUGUUCGGAAUUACUGGGCGUAAAGCGCACGUAGGCGGAUUUGUAAGUCAGGGGUGAAAUCCCGGGGCUCAACCCCGGAACUGCCUUUGAUACUGCGAAUCUCGAGUCCGGAAGAGGUGAGUGGAAUUCCUAGUGUAGAGGUGAAAUUCGUAGAUAUUCGGAAGAACACCAGUGGCGAAGGCGACUUACUGGACGAUUGUUGACGCUGAGGUGCGAAAGCGUGGGGAGCAAACAGG